AAUGAACGCUGGCGGCGUGCUUAACACAUGCAAGUCGUACGAGAAACCCCGGCUUGCCGGGGGAGUAAAGUGGCGCACGGGUGAGUAACGCGUGGGUAAUCUACCCUCGAAUUGGGGAUAACACACCGAAAGGUGUGCUAAUACCGAAUAAGACCACGACCUCCACGGGGGUUGCGGUCAAAGAUGGCCUCUGCUUGCAAGCUGUCGUUUGAGGAUGAGCCCGCGUACCAUUAGCUUGUUGGUGGGGUAAUGGCCUACCAAGGCAACGAUGGUUAGCUGGUCUGAGAGGAUGGCCAGCCACACUGGAACUGGAACACGGUCCAGACUCCUACGGGAGGCAGCAGUGAGGAAUUUUGCGCAAUGGGGGAAGCCCUGACGCAGCGACGCCGCGUGAGCGAAGAAGGCCUUCGGGUUGUAAAGCUCUGUCAAGUGGGAAGAACCUUUUUCGGCCGAAUACGCCGAGAAACUGACGGUACCGCUGAAGGAAGCACCGGCUAACUCCGUGCCAGCCGCCGCCGUAA
rnacentral:rRNA from 1 species